GCAUCCGUAGCUCAGAUGGCCAGAGCAUGAAUGUCGCCGGUUCGAGUCCGGCCGGAUGCA
rnacentral:tRNA from 1 species